rnacentral:rRNA from 1 species
GACGAACGCUGGCGGCGUGCUUAACACAUGCAAGUCGAACGGAAAGGCCCUGCUUUUGUGGUGUGCUCGAGUGGCGAACGUGUGAGUAACACGUGAGUAACCUGCCCUUUACUUUGGGAUAACUUCAGGAAACUGGGGCUAAUACCGUAUAGGAGCUCCUGCUGCAUGGGGUGGGUUGGAAAGUUUCGGCGGUUGGGUAUGGACUCGCGGCUUAUCAGCUUGUUGGUGGGGUAGUGGCUUACCAAGGCUUUGACGGGUAGCCGGCCUGAGAGGGUGACCGGCCACAUUGGGACUGAGAUACGGCCCAGACUCCUACGGGAGGCAGCAGUGGGGAAUAUUGCACAAUGGGCGGAAGCCUGAUGCAGCAACGCCGCGUGCGGGAUGACGGCCUUCGGGUUGUAAACCGCUUUCGCCUGUGACGAAGCGUGAGUGACGGUACCGGGUAAAGAAGCACCGGCUAACUACGUG